UGGGAUUCGAUUCUACUUCUUACUUACUAGUAUAUUACAACUUGGUAUCAAAGCAAAUUCCUGGCCCAAUGACGAUUACAGAAACAAGAUCGAAAAGUACAGAAGAAUCAGUUAAGAAAUUAGACAUGCAACUGCAGAAUUACAUGGAGACUAAUGAUGCUAGAUUGGAGGGUUUGGCCAAGAAGAUGGAUCUCCUAAUGGAGAAACUGAUUCCCAAUCAAGAGGGAAUUCUGGGAAGUGCGCCGGGUCUUCAAUUAGAUGCUUCUGGAAGUAGACUGCACAAGAAUGACCAAUUCGAGCAAGCUAGAUUCCAAAGGAGCAAUCACCAUGGUCGGUUUGAGUUCCCAUUUUUUGAUGGAGUUGAUCCCUGCUCGUGGCUAAGGAAAGGGGAGAGAUACUUCCACUACAAUCGAAUCUUUGACCCUGAUGAGAAGUUGGAAGUAGCUGUCCUGCACUUAACAGGUAAAGUUGAGGCAUGGUUUUUCUCAUAUCAUGUUAGUAAAGGUGUAAUCAAAUGGCAUGAGUUUACUGAAGAAAUUUGCAAAAGAUUUGAAGGAGCUAGUAAUAGUAAAUUCAACUUAAUUGGAGAAUUUAAAAAGGUUGAACAAAAAGGAACAGUAGAUGAAUAUUUGGAAAGGUUUGAAGAUUUGAAGGCCUGGGUAUUGAUAAGGAAUCCCACCAUUCCAGAAGAUUUUUUCCUAGAAUUCUUUGUGGAAGGUCUCAAGGAAGAAAUAAGGCAUACAAUUAAGAUGCUUAACCCUUUCACCCUAAGUCAGGUUGUGGAUAAGGCUCGACAUCAGGAGAGGCUAAUCCAAGUACAGAAUAGGAAGGAGAGAAGUCAGUGGGGAAGAAGUAAUAUUACAGGGUAUAAUCAGACUAAUGGGGUAAUGGUUAAGGGAGCUAACUCUUCAGUGGGAGGCCAGGGUAACAAGCUCCUUGAAUUGAGGAAAGCUCAAGGGCUAUGUUAUAAGUGUGGUGAAAAAUAUCAUGUUGGGCAUCAAUGCAAAACUAAACAGCUGAAUACUAUGUCUGCUUCAAUUGAUCCAACUGAAUUGGAGCAGAGUGAAGGGAUAGAAGGUGAUGUUAAGGAAUUGGAGGAGAUGCCAGGGGAAGAAAUUAUGGAUGAAGCAAUUAGUCUGAAUGCACUUUCAGGUACUGAAGUCCCAAAUACCAUCAAGUUGGGAGGAGAGGCAAAAAGGAACAAGAUUACUAUUUUGUUAGAUUCGGAGAGCACCCAUAGCUUCUUGGAUCUGGAGACUGCUAGGAGGAUAGGGUGCCAAAUUAUUGAGGCAGUCCCUAUGAGAGUGACUGUAGCAAAUGGGAACCAUAUUACAAGCCUACAUUCUUGUCCUAGAUUCAAAUAGAAGAUACAAGGGGUGGAGUUUGAGGAUGCUGUGAGGCUUGUUAGAUUGGGGGGAAAUGAUAUGAUAUUGGGUGGUGACUGGAUGAAGGGACAUAACCCUGUACUCUUGAAUUUCAUUGAGUACAAGGUCCAGGUGGCACAUAAAGGGAAGAGAGUGGAGCUUAAGGGCAUCUACAGUCAAGGAGAAUUGAAAAGUAUGACAGCAGUGGGAGUGAGACAACUAUUGAAGAAAGGGCAGGCUAUUUGGGCACAUCUCUUCACACUCUCAGCCCAGGAAAUACCAAUGACAGAAGAAAUACCUGCAGAAAUUGUUGAAGUACUUGCAGACUUCAAAGAUGUCUUUGAUGAACCCACAUCCUUACCACCAAAAAGAGGCCAUGAUCAUCACAUUCCCCUGAAAAGUAAUGCAAACCCAGUCAGCCUGAGACCCUACAGGUAUAACUAUUUUCAGAAGAAUGAAAUUAAAAAAUAAGUUAAUGAAAUGUUGACUAGUGGAAUGAUACAACCAAGUCACUCCCCUUUCUCUUCUCCAGUAUUAUUGGUCAAAAAGAAAGAUGGUAGUUGGAGAUUCUGUAUAGAUUACAGGGAACUUAAUAAACUGACAGUGAAGGAUAAAUUUUCCAUUCCAUUGGUAGAUGACUUAAUGGAUGAAUUAAGUGGUUCUUGUAUCUAUACUAAAAUUGACCUUAGAGCUGGCUAUCACCAAAUCAGAAUGGGUGAUAAAGACAUAUACAAAACUUCUUUUAGGAUACAUUUGGGACACUAUGAGUUUAGAGUCAUGCCUUUUGGCUUGACUAAUACCCCUGCAACCUUUCAGAGCCUCAUGAACCAUAUUUUUCAACCCUUUCUCAGAAAAUUUGUACUGGUUUUCUUUGAUGAUAUUCUAGUAUACAACCCCAAUAACCACAUCCACAUAUUACACCUCAGAAAAGUUUUAGAAAUUUUGAGGAAGGAAAAACUUUAUGCUAAGCUAUCUAAGUGUUCAUUUGGACAGAAUAAGGCGGAAUAUUUGGGUCACAUCAUUUCAGGGGAAGGGGUAGCUACUGAUCCUUCAAAAAUUGAGGCUAUGGUUAACUGGCCUAGACCAAAAACUAUCAAACACUUAAGGGGUUUCUUAGGGCUCACAGGUUAUUAUAGGAGGUUUGUCAAUUCUUAUGGGGUUAUCAGCAGACCCCUGACCAAUCUUCUUAAGAAGAACUCCUUCCAGUGGUCAGAGGAAGCAGAGAUAGCCUUUCAGCAACUUAAGUCAGCCAUGUCAUCAGCCCCAGUUUUGGCCCUAGCUGACUUCACCAAACCAUUCAUUGUGGAGACUGAUGCUUGCUCCACAGGGAUGGGAGCAGUCUUAUUACAGGAAGGCAGACCCUUGGCAUAUUUCAGUAAAGCAUUAUCUCAGAACAACAGGGGAUUGUCAACCUAUGAAAAAGAAUAUCUAGUUGUACUAAUAGCAGUGGAUAAAUAGAGACACUAUUUGAUGGGGGUCACUUUAUAAUCAGGAAGGAUCAUCAAAGUCUCAAGUACUUACUAGAGCAAAAGAUUACCACUGCCCUUCAGCAAAAAGGCCUCACCAAACUCCUUGGACUGGACUAUGAAGUUCAGUACAAGAAAGGUACUGAAAACAGAGUUGCUGAUGCCCUUUUAAGAAGAGAAGAAGAAGAACAUAUAUUAUGUGCCAUUACUAGUUCUGAACCCACCUGGAUGCAGGAGGUAAUUCAGAGUUAUGACCAUGAUCUUGUGGCUCAACAAUUGUUGCUUGAGCUAAUAACAGAUCCUUCAGGCAAAUCUGAUUACACCCUUCAGCAGGGCAUUAUCAGACAUGACCAAAAAGUAUGGAUAAGGAGGGGAGCUUGUCUAAGAACUAAGAUCUUUGAAGCCCUUCAUAAGUCUCCUAUUGGGGGGCAUUCUGGGCAAUUGGGAACUUAUAAGAGGAUCAAGAUGGGCUUUUAUUGGCCUAACAUGAAGACUGACAUCUCUAAAUGGGUGGCUGAGUGUGAUACAUGUCAAAGAGUAAAAAAUGAAAAUGUACACUCUCCAGGAUUACUACAGCCUCUUCCCAUCCCAGAAAUGCCAUGGAAGGAUAUCUCCAUGGAUUUUAUAGAAGGUUUACCUUCUUCUGAGCACAAGAAUGUGGUAUUGGUAGUCAUCGAUAGACUGACCAAAUAUGGACACUUCCUAGCAUUAAAGCACCCUUUUUCAGCUAAGGAGGUAGCCGAGUUAUUCUUACAGGACAUCUAUAGGCUGCAUGGGCUUCCUAAGUCAAUUGUGACUGAUAGGGAUGCAAUAUUCACCAGCCAAUUCUGGCAGCAGCUCUUCAAGUCAAUGGGAACCAAGCUUAAAAUGUCUACAGCUUAUCACCCUCAGUCAGAUGGUCAAACUGAACGGCUUAAUAGAUGCUUGAAAACUUAUCUGAGGUCUAUGGUUUUUGCAUGCCCUAAGAAAUGGUUCAAGUGGUUACCCUUAGCAGAGUGGUGGUACAACACCAACUACCACAACUCACUCAAAUCUACACCAUUCCAGGCACUAUAUGGAUUUCCACCCCCACAGGUUUCACUGGGAUCAUUACCAUAUUCUACAUAACCUGUGGACUCUUACUUGGCUCAAAGGCAACAAAUGUUGACGUUUCUUAAGGAAAACUUAGUCCAGGCCCAAGCCAGGAUGAAAUUUUAUGCAGAUAGGAACAGGUCUGACAGAGUUUUAGAGGUGGGAGACUUUGUUUAUUUGAAAUUACAACCCUAUAUACAAUCAUCAGUAGCAGUGCGGAGAAAUCUUAAAUUGAGUGCCAAAUACUAUGGGCCAUACAAAGUGCUACAAAAGAUUGGGUCAGUGGCUUAUCGUUUGGAGUCGCCGUCAAGCUCACAAAUCCAUCCAGUCUUUCAUGUCUCUCAACUGAAGAAGAGGGUGGGACCUUCUAUUGCACCUCAGCAGCAACCUCCUAGCUGUGAUGACAGUGGUCGAGUUCUGGUACAACCAGUUGCUAUUUUAGACCGUCGUAUCGUCAAGGUUAAUAAUGCAGCUCAAGUGAAAGUUUUGGUACAGUGGGCUAAUUUGGGGCCAGAUGAGGCAACGUGGGAAGACUGGGGCUAUAUCAAGAGCCAAUUUCCUGACUUUAUCGCUCAAUCUUGACCUUGAGGACAAGGUCAGUGUUGAUCGGGGAGGUAUUGUAAGGUUUGGAGUUGGUCAUCAGCUGAAAUUGGAAAUAGGGUAUGAAUUAGGAAAGAAC
rnacentral:lncRNA from 1 species